ACAAAGAGCUGGACACGCGGGUCAUAGGAAGCAUUGCCACCAUUGCAAGCAGCGAGAGCACAAAGGAGAUCCCCAACUGCACUAGUGUUUAACCAAGAAGCCACGUGGCCAAUCACCUUCCCCACUUUUUAUUUUUGAUGACUACUACUACUAUUAUUAUGGAAAAAUGAAAAUGUCUUUUUUUAAUCUUUUGUUUACCGUCAUAAAUAGUAAGCAGAUGCUUAGCUUUGGGAGGCAAAAAAAAAAAAAAAAAAAAAAAAAAGGCAUUCUUAGGCGAUCAUAAAGGGAUGAAGGAAUAUAUGGUUGUAUUUGUAUUAAGAAUGCUUUUUCCCACGGGUUUCUUGCUUUACUCUGCUGUCAGGAGAGCAAGGUUCUUCUUGUGUCGUUCUGACUUUUUUGAGUUGGGUUUUUGUUAACUUCAUCCUUCCUUACUCCUCCCAUGCUCCACACUACAUACACAUACAACACAGACCAUUCCCCAGUUCAAUUGCAGGACGUAGGUUGAGGGGGAGUGGACGUAGCUGCCAAAGGCGCGCACACCUUUCCGAAAGAGGCCCUGCCUCAUGCAUGUCGAAACUGAGGCUAAAGAUGGUGUAUUGUAUAUAACUACAAUGUAAAUAGCUUUUUAUUUCCUAAGAAAUAAUUUAAUGUUUAGUAAAAAAGAAAACAGAAAAAAAGAAAGAUGUGUGUGUUGGCUUCUGCACUCACCUUCAGAGCUGACCGCCCCCCAGCCUGCCUGAUGUGUUGGAUUCUGGAUGCUCUCCAGCUGUCUUUCACACUCAACUCUUGCGUCUCUGUCCACACCAUAGCCUGUUUCUGCUUAUGUAUAUAAAGGGCAUGGGGGAGGGCUUCUUCAGGGCAAUUGACAAAGGAAGGACUUCAGUGGCGUUCAGGAACAUGGGGGUUGUUUUUCUUCCUAGGAUAACAUGGAAGGAGUCACAAAGACUAGUAGAGACUUCAAACUCUC
rnacentral:lncRNA from 1 species